UUAUAAACUGGUGUAAUGUUUAAUUAGCAGUGGCCGGUUGGUGACUUUGGGUUUUGACCACCUCCUCUUUCUAUUCUCUCUCACACAGAGAAAGAGACAGUGUUUUGUGCCAGAGCCACCACUGACCAGACCUAGAGAGAGAAGGCGAGAGAGAGAGACUGAGACUGAGGCUGAGAGGUUGAAACUGAGAGUGAAAAACCUACAGUCACUCACUGUUGCACUUUGCUGGGUAUAUAUAUUUUUUUUUGGCCUUUUUGCAUUUCUUCUUCUUCUGCUCUGCCCAGCCUCUUUUCUACUGUAGCUCUCUUGCAACUCUUAUACUAAAAAUAAAAACAAAAACAAAAGAAAACUCAUCUCUCCAUUCCUAUCACCAUCACUGUCAUAAUCAUCUGGGUUUCCUGAACCUAUUGGAAAGUAGUGCAAUCCAGAAUCUCUUCCAUCUUCUCAUAGAUCCAGCUGUAAGCCCAGAAUCUCUGUCCCUAACUGCUUCGUCACCCAUAGUUGCUGGACUGGAACUCCAACAGUGAUCA